UUUUUUUUUUUUUGUAAUUAAAAAUUAAUUUUAACCUUUUUUGCUAAAAUUUUGAAAAAUUACAAAUCAACUUCAAAAACACUUCAUCCAAUUGUAUUGUAUGAAUGUGUUAAAAGUGCAGCUCACACAAUCGGAAAUACACCAAUCAUUAUUUAUUAAUUUAGUAUCCGAUAUCUUAGACUUUACUGAUUAAAAUUAAUGGGUAAUAAAUGAUUUAAGAUUGCUAAAUUGGUCGGUUGAAUGUCGAUUUUUCCAUUUCACCAUUUCAGCAGUUUCGCGCCUUAUUGUCUUCAAAGUCCUUUUCAACUUUCCCUCUCGAUAAUUCGUGGUACUGUAGGAAUUACUGGAGGGCAUUAGUAACCCCUUGAAAAUCCUCCGUGAUCGGGAUCGGGAAUUGCAAUUAUUUCCUUUGAAUGUUUACGUUCCUGCUCUUUGUACACAUCGCCCCUCGCUGCCCGUGAUUAAGCCGUUUCAAAAAAAGCGGAAACUGCUGUUUCUAUACCUUUCAAGGAUGGUGAAUCUUUAUUGAAAACGACUUUUGCUGAACCCAGCAAAAGUCGUAACAAGGUUUCCGUAGGUGGGACCUGCGGAAAGAUCAUUA
rnacentral:ncRNA from 1 species